UACGGGGGGUGCGAGCGUUGUCCGGAUUCACUGGGCGUAAAGGGCGCGUAGGCGGCUGGCUCAGUCGGGCCUGUAAGUGCGGGGCUUAACCCCGUGAUGGGCCCGGGACGGGUCGGCUGGGGCGCGGUCGAGGGAGACGGAAUGCCGGGUGUAGUGGUGAAAUGCGUAGAGAUCCGGCGGAACACCUGCGGCGAAGGCGGGUAGCUGGGCCGACACUGACGCUGAGGCGCGAAAGCUAGGGGAGCGAACGGG
rnacentral:rRNA from 1 species